rnacentral:rRNA from 1 species
AUUGAACGCUGGCGGCAUGCUUUACACAUGCAAGUCGAACGGUAACAGGCCGCAAGGUGCUGACGAGUGGCGAACGGGUGAGUAAUGCAUCGGAACGUGCCCAGUCGUGGGGGAUAACGCAGCGAAAGCUGCGCUAAUACCGCAUACGAUCUAUGGAUGAAAGCGGGGGACCGUAAGGCCUCGCGCGAUUGGAGCGGCCGAUGUCAGAUUAGGUAGUUGGUGGGGUAAAGGAUCACCAAGCCAACGAUCUGUAGCUGGUCUGAGAGGACGACCAGCCACACUGGGACUGAGACACGGCCCAGACUCCUACGGGAGGCAGCAGUGGGGAAUUUUGGACAAUGGGCGCAAGCCUGAUCCAGCAAUGCCGCGUGCAGGAAGAAGGCCUUCGGGUUAUAAACUGCUUUUGUACGGAACGAAAAGGCUCUGGAUAAUACCUGGGGCUCAUGACGGUACCGUAAGAAUAAGCACCGGCUAACUACGUGCCAGCAGCCGCAGUAACAC